rnacentral:rRNA from 1 species
CGUACACAAAAAUGCACAUGCUGUGAGCUCGAUGAGUAGGGCGGGACACGUGGUAUCCUGUCUGAAUAUGGGGGGACCAUCCUCCAAGGCUAAAUACUCCUGACUGACCGAUAGUGAACCAGUACCGUGAGGGAAAGGCGAAAAGAACCCCGGCGAGGGGAGUGAAAAAGAACCUGAAACCGUGUACGUACAAGCAGUGGGAGCCUCUUUUAUGGGGUGACUGCGUACCUUUUGUAUAAUGGGUCAGCGACUUAUAUUCUGUAGCAAGGUUAACCGAAUAGGGGAGCCGAAGGGAAACCGAGUCUUAACUGGGCGUUAAGUUGCAGGGUAUAGACCCGAAACCCGGUGAUCUAGCCAUGGGCAGGUUGAAGGUUGGGUAACACUAACUGGAGGACCGAACCGACUAAUGUUGAAAAAUUAGCGGAUGACUUGUGGCUGGGGGUGAAAGGCCAAUCAAACCGGGAGAUAGCUGGUUCUCCCCGAAAGCUAUUUAGGUAGCGCCUCGUGAAUUCAUCUCCGGGGGUAGAGCACUGUUUCGGCAAGGGGGUCAUCCCGACUUACCAACCCGAUGCAAACUGCGAAUACCGGAGAAUGUUAUCACGGGAGACACACGGCGGGUGCUAACGUCCGUCGUGAAGAGGGAAACAACCCAGACCGCCAGCUAAGGUCCCAAAGUCAUGGUUAAGUGGGAAACGAUGUGGGAAGGCCCAGACAGCCAGGAUGUUGGCUUAGAAGCAGCCAUCAUUUAAAGAAAGCGUAAUAGCUCACUGGUCGAGUCGGCCUGCGCGGAAGAUGUAACGGGGCUAAACCAUGCACCGAAGCUGCGGCAGCGACGCUUAUGCGUUGUUGGGUAGGGGAGCGUUCUGUAAGCCUGUGAAGGUGUGCUGUGAGGCAUGCUGGAGGUAUCAGAAGUGCGAAUGCUGACAUAAGUAACGAUAAAGCGGGUGAAAAGCCCGCUCGCCGGAAGACCAAGGGUUCCUGUCCAACGUUAAUCGGGGCAGGGUGAGUCGACCCCUAAGGCGAGGCCGAAAGGCGUAGUCGAUGGGAAACAGGUUAAUAUUCCUGUACUUGGUGUUACUGCGAAGGGGGGACGGAGAAGGCUAUGUUGGCCGGGCGACGGUUGUCCCGGUUUAAGCGUGUAGGCUGGUUUUCCAGGCAAAUCCGGAAAAUCAAGGCUGAGGCGUGAUGACGAGGCACUACGGUGCUGAAGCAACAAAUGCCCUGCUUCCAGGAAAAGCCUCUAAGCAUCAGGUAACAUCAAAUCGUACCCCAAACCGACACAGGUGGUCAGGUAGAGAAUACCAAGGCGCUUGAGAGAACUCGGGUGAAGGAACUAGGCAAAAUGGUGCCGUAACUUCGGGAGAAGGCACGCUGAUAUGUAGGUGAAGCGACUUGCUCGUGGAGCUGAAAUCAGUCGAAGAUACCAGCUGGCUGCAACUGUUUAUUAAAAACACAGCACUGUGCAAACACGAAAGUGGACGUAUACGGUGUGACGCCUGCCCGGUGCCGGAAGGUUAAUUGAUGGGGUCAGCGCAAGCGAAGCUCUUGAUCGAAGCCCCGGUAAACGGCGGCCGUAACUAUAACGGUCCUAAGGUAGCGAAAUUCCUUGUCGGGUAAGUUCCGACCUGCACGAAUGGCGUAAUGAUGGCCAGGCUGUCUCCACCCGAGACUCAGUGAAAUUGAACUCGCUGUGAAGAUGCAGUGUACCCGCGGCAAGACGGAAAGACCCCGUGAACCUUUACUAUAGCUUGACACUGAACAUUGAGCCUUGAUG